UAAAGAGCCCUGUGGAGACACC
rnacentral:miRNA from 1 species